CUGUCAUACAAGGUUGGUGCCUGUCAUGUUUAUAAGAAUGAAAGACACCAAGCUGAGUAGACUG
rnacentral:miRNA from 1 species